CCUACGGGAGGCAGCAGUGAGGAAUAUUGGUCAAUGGGCGCAAGCCUGAACCAGCCAAGUAGCGUGAAGGAUGACUGCCCUACGGGUUGUAAACUUCUUUUAUAAAGGAAUAAAGUGAGGCACGUGUGCCUUUUUGUAUGUAUUUUAUGAAUAAGGAUCGGCUAACUCCGUGCCAGCCGCCGCGGUAAUACGGAGGAUCCGAGCGUUAUCCGGAUUUAUUGGGUUUAAAGGGAGCGUAGAUGGGUUGUUAAGUCAGUUGUGAAAGUUUGCGGCUCAACCGUAAAAUUGCAAUUGAUACUGGCAGGCUGGAGUACAGUUGAGGUAGGCGGAAUGCGUGGUGUAGCGGUGAAAUGCUUAGAUAUCACGAAGAACUCCGAUUGCGAAGGCAGCCUACUAAACUGCCACUGACAUUGAUGCUCGAAAGUGUGGGUAGCAAACAGGAUUAGAUACCCCUGUAGUC
rnacentral:rRNA from 1 species